GCGGGCUGGGGGCGUCUCGCUGCAUUCGAGACCUUUCCGUGGUCAGGGCUGAGGUGAUACUGUGGGUCUGCAGACACAGUCGUUCAGACACUCUCUGACUCCUGCAGAAACUGGGGGACGCCUGUGAAAACACAGACGUGAGUGUAGGGCGAAAUCACACAGACAUCUCACCUCUUUCUUCUGCCUUUUAUACCUCCCUCUCAUUUUCACACACACACACACACACACACUCACUCACAAACACUUAACCAAUUAAGUCCGUCGAGCGCUAUUUGCGGAUGAUGGUGUGGAAUUGUGCCGGAGUCGUGUCCGGCAUCAUUAAAUGUCAGCAUUAACAAUACGGCACUUGGCAAUCAAGGCCGCUCUGUGGCUCUUAGUCAUUAAUCACCAUCUGACAGUCCUGAAUUGGAAACGAGGAGCCUGUUCACAUGUGCUCCAUGGACCCAGUUACCCUCUCGGUAAUCAGUCUCGGAAAACUUUUCUUUGCCUCUCUGCCUGUGAGGGCCCCUGUCCUGGCGAGGGGGCGGGGGUCCUUAGGCUGAGCCCCUCUCCUCCCCUUCUUCCCCUUCCCCUCCUUCUCCUCCUCCAGCUGCGGAAAGGAGCCCAGGUCCUAAAAAAACAGGGGAGAGAGGAGCAUAUUGUUUUUGGCCUACCCUUUCCCUCUUAGGCCUGUUUUAUGUAGCCUUGUUUUUCUCUUUUGGCCCCACGGCCAGGAAAAUUCUUUUUCUCCCUGAAGAAAUUCUGAAAGACAGCAGGGAGCUCAGUUCUGUUCCAAAAGCUGGUGGGGUCAGUUCGUCAAGUGCGUCCUCAGGUGUGGACCCAUGUCUGAUAGAUGGGAGGGGGGGCCACUUGACGAAUUUGGGGGAUCGCUUCCAGCCACGUGGGCCUGAAUUUCCAUGGGUCUUCUGGGUCCCUUGGCAGAAUUGAGAUGGAGGACUGUUUCUCCUUGGGGUCCAAUCUCAGCACCUCUCUGCAGCCGUAUUCAUUCAUUUGUUUGUUCCGGAAAUAUCCACUGAGGGCCUGUGAUGAGUCAGGCAUGGACUGGACCCUGGGGCGGCAGCGAUGAACACGGACCCGGGUCCCUCCCUCAGGGUGGCGGCUCUGAGUGGGUGAGAUGGCGCUCAGAGACAGAGUCUGCGUGGCCCCAGGCUUGUUCUCUGUCGGGGAGUCUCUACCUCUGCAUCCUUGGUGCGUGUGCUGCAAGCCUGCCGGCUCCUCCUCGGACACGAGCAUCUGGGAAAAUGGUCAUAUUCCAGAACUUUCCCAUCCGAUGUCUCGUUCUCAGCAGCCCCUGCUCUCUGCCAGGUGGGGGCUGCUCCCCAACAGAAGGAAAGGGAGAGCAGAAAAUGGGAAGUGAGCAGCCGUGAAAAUGAGUGAAAUAGUACCGUUUGCAGCAACGUGGGUGGACCUGGACAUGAUCAGACUGAGUGAAGCUCUUCAACUGGGGGCUUCCCAGGUGACGCUAGUGGCAAAGAAACCACCUGUCC